rnacentral:tRNA from 1 species
GGCGGCCAGACGGGCGGCCAGCACCUCCUCCGGUGCGGUGAUCAGCAGGAUCGCGGAGCGUUCGAAUCGUUCGGCCAGCA